ACUCUAUAAGAUAUUCAAAUAAUAUGGGCACUUCCAAUAGACAGCGAACCGGUGACUUGAAUUGAUCUCGAUCGCACAACACAACAGUGGCAAAAAUAAUAUCUUACUUACAUAGGCUUUAGCUCGGAUGCAAAUGUGUUGAAGGACUCGAGACUACAGACAUCCACAAUUACAUCUCAUUUGGCCGCGGUCGAAAUUACUUAUAAUACUCCCCAGGCUGUCGUCGUCCAAUACGCACGUGUCCUUGCAUUACUUCUAUUUGGGGGAUUGAUGUGCCCAGAUUUCUCAGGUAACUAUGUCUCAUUACUAUAUCUCUCAAAAUUAGAAGAUAUAGAAACCGCAAGGAACUAUAGUUGGGGAAGUGUUGUGCGGGCAUUUUUAUACUACGAAUUAUGCAAUGCCAGCACAAAAGGCAAAGCGGCAAUUGGUGGGGCGCUGUAAUUGCUACAGAUUUGGACAUGGUCACGGAUUACGCCACUUUGUCCAGGACUUGGUGCCCAACGGCUAUUUAUGGGCCAAGUGCAAAUGGACAACAAUUGCUGGCUCCCAACAGCACCAUAUGGUACUACUUGAAAUUGUCAGCACACUUUCACCACUACAGUUCGGGGAACUGUCCGAGUCAUACAAGAAAUAUUGGAUGAGAUGCAGGCGGAUCAGGUAACUUAUUUUUAAUAUUAUUCGUGUAUUUAUACCGUAAAUUAAAUUCGUAUUACUUUACAUCUUUGUAUUUAUUACAGUUCAUAUGACAGUCGUAUAACAUAGACUCAGAUGUCAUUAUGGCUUCCGCCGAUUAAUUGAACCCCCAAUUGUGGAGGUCAUUCGUUUCAUUGAUAUUCUACGUAAUAGUUGAAAUGCAUCGUCCCGAACGGGUUGUUCGCCAAUUCGGGAUGAGGCAGAAUGUACUAGAAUCGACGGAUACCUGUGAUAUGAGCCUCCAUUAGAUUUCCCGUAAAAAUCACGCGAGCACAGAUUGGUCCCUGCAACACAUACAGUAUAUCACUAGAUGACAAAGACGAUAUGACACGGUUGUACAUAGGCCACUCAUUUUCAAUAGAACGAGGUUAUUGGGAGUGGUAUUACAACAUAACAAAAAAUUUCUUGUCGUCGACUACUGAUAGACGUGUGGAAAGCGGGUACCAACCUGCAGAAGCACCUAUGUUGCAAGUUGUGGCAAAUGAGGUGAAUGCCCUUGAAACUUUAUGUCGAUCUAGACCAUCAAAUAUCGAAGGAUAUAGUCAAUUGGUGGAUAGAUUUGAACAUGGAUUACAUAUUAUCAAGGAAGCUAUAAGCCAACAGCCACAACAAAUUGUUUCUGCAUCCGAUGAUGCUCCCACAACAUCCCACAGGCAAAGAAGAAGUUCUAGCCGAAUGUCAACUGGUUCAAUUGAACGAUAUUGGGGUGGAUAUAGUUGGUCCUUCUACAGUAUAUCCACCUCAAGAUUAUUAUAUGCCUCAACUGUCUCAAGGGAAUUGGUUUCGACCGACUCCAUAUAUGUCAAACCAAACACAAGAUUAUUCUCUUGACCUUGGUCUUGGUAUUAAUCAACUAUAUACACAAGGAUGUAAUAUUUUACCAAUUUCAUUUGGUGUAUAUCGUGACAAUGUGGAGUCAAGUUUCGCAACAACAUCAAGUCGGUUUGGUGGUGAUGAAAAUCAGACGCAAAAUAAGCCAGUUCAAAAUGUGGGCGAGGAAAUACGAAGACCUCGACGUCAACGCCGCAAACGAAAUUGUGGAACGGGUGGACAUUUUUUAUAUUUGUAAUUGUAUAGUUUAAUGUAUUUUUUUACAAUUGUACAAAAUAAAUAACUAUUACAUUUCUACCUUUAAUUGUAAUUUUUUAAAUUAAUGCAAUGUUAAUUUUAUUAAUUUUUGAAUUUUAGUAUAUUGUUAAAAUUAAUUAUAUAUAAAUUAAAUUAUAUAAAUAUAAUUAAACGAAAAAAAAAGGGAAAAUACAAAGUCGGGAUUUAGAAGCCAGACUUUAGCUCUUUUGUUCCCCUAUAUUUUAUUGACGUAAAAUCGCGACUUGUCAUAUUUUUAUUAGUUAUUUAAAAAAAAUUAUAAUAAUAUAAUUUUUUUUAUAAUAAAAAAUUAAUUAACUCCAAAGAUAGUUGCUUGAUAUUUAAGAGUAACCUGGAGCUUAGAUUCUUUAUCCUUAACUGAUAAAUGAGUUUGGCCAUGUUAUCUGGUACUUAGUUGUUCCUUUUU